rnacentral:rRNA from 1 species
GACGAACGCUGGCGGCGUGCCUAAUACAUGCAAGUCGAACGAGAGCGACCGGUGCUUGCACUGGUCAAUCUAGUGGCGCACGGGUGAGUAACACGUGGGUAACCUGCCCAUCAGAGGGGGAUAACAUCCGGAAACGGAUGCUAAAACCGCAUAGGUCUUCGAACCGCAUGGUUUGAAGAGGAAAAGAGGCGCAAGCUUCUGCUGAUGGAUGGACCCGCGGUGCAUUAGCUAGUUGGUGAGGUAACGGCUCACCAAGGUCGUGAUGCAUAGCCGACCUGAGGGGGUGAUCGGCCACAUUGGGACUGAGACGCGGCCCAAACUCCUACGGGAGGCAGCAGUAGGGAAUCUUCCGCAAUGGACGCAAGUCUGACGGAGCAACGCCGCGUGAGUGAAGAAGGUUUUCGGAUCGUAAAACUCUGUUGUUAGAGAAGAACAAGUGCUAGAGUAACUGUUAGCGCCUUGACGGUAACUAACCAGAAAGCCACGGCUAACUACGUG